CCGGAAGAGCCGCCUCCUCCAUGUUCUUCUUGGCCCUGCCUCCCUCCUCAGUCCCUCCUCAGCCUGGGAUUGGAAGCCGAGCAUAGCCGCCUUCCUCCUCAGGCCUGAGGAGAAGGGACAGGCCCCAAGGAGGAGGAGGAGGAGGAAGAGAAAGAGGAGACCACCACCACCAAAUAUGCUGAUGAAUGAAGAACUAAAGCAUCCUAAUAGAAAAAUCACAGCAGAAGACAGGGGCUUAACAUUAGAGGAGGCUACAGGCAGACCUCACUUUAAGGAAAAAGAGGCCUGAAUAACAGCAACAAUACCUUGGCAGUCUCUGAGUGCGGCAGCAAUGUCAGAAGGGUUGAGAACGUCGCUGAUGCUCAUAUUAAACUGUUCCGAAAAAAGACAAAGAAAGGAUAAAAAAUGCUGUAACAGGCAAGUGAAAUAAAAUACAAUCUCUUUUUCCAGCAAUGCAAGAUUGCAGAUGAGAUGCAAAAACAGGUCUCUAAUAGUUGAUCAGUACAAUUUUUUAAAAUACAUUUAAACUGUCUGCAUAACUAGUAACCUUGUUCACAUGUGUGAUAUUAAAACUAUUCAAAGAG